AUAUGAAAGCUCCAGCACUGCUGACCUCUGGCAAAAAGGGAGUGGAAACAAGGACAAGAGAGGCAGAGGGAGAGAGGUUCAAGUACGGGUUUUCUCCUUGAACCUAGAAGAUUAUGGGUCAAGAGCUGUGUGCAAAGACUCUCCAGCCUGGAUGCAGCUGCCAUCGCUGUUGGGAGGGAGGCGAUGCACACAGCGGUCAGAGGAGUGCGCCUGUGACCGUGGAGGCUGCGAUGGAGCUAGCAGACCUAAAAGAAGCAUCAUGUUCCAUGACUUCAUUUCACCCCAGGGGACCUCAGUCUGUCCAUGCCCGGAAGUUCAGGAAUAGAAGGCCACGGAGUAAUAGCGAUUCUUUUCAGGAAGAGCAUCUGAGGCAGAGUUUUCAGUGGACGAAGAGCCUUCCCUUUGGGGCAGCCUCAUCUUACCUGAACUUGGAGAAGCUGGGUGAAGGCUCUUAUGCUACAGUUUACAAGGGGAUCAGCAGGAUAAAUGGACAACUAGUGGCUUUAAAAGUCAUCAGCAUGAAUGCAGAGGAAGGAGUCCCAUUUACAGCCAUCCGGGAAGCUUCUCUCCUGAAGGGUUUGAAACAUGCCAAUAUUGUGCUCUUGCAUGACAUAAUCCACACCAAAGAGACACUGACAUUCGUUUUUGAAUACGUGCACACGGACCUGGCCCAGUAUAUGUCCCAGCACCCAGGAGGGCUUCAUCCUCACAAUGUCAGGCUUUUCAUGUUUCAACUUUUGCGGGGCCUGGCAUACAUCCACCACCAACACGUUCUUCACAGGGACCUGAAACCUCAGAAUUUACUCAUCAGUCACCUGGGAGAGCUCAAACUGGCUGAUUUUGGUCUUGCUCGGGCCAAGUCCAUUCCCAGCCAGACAUACUCUUCAGAAGUUGUGACUCUCUGGUACCGCCCUCCUGAUGCCCUGCUGGGAGCUACUGAGUAUUCUUCUGAACUGGACAUAUGGGGUGCAGGCUGCAUCUUUAUUGAAAUGUUCCAGGGUCAACCCUUGUUUCCUGGGGUUUCCAACAUCCUUGAACAGCUGGAGAAGAUCUGGGAGGUGGUGGGAGUCCCUACAGAGGAUACCUGGCCUGGGGUUUCCAAGCUACCUAACUACAAUCCAGAAUGGUUCCCACUGCCUAAGCCUCCGAGCCUUCAGGAUGUCUGGUACAGGUUGGGCAGGGCUCCUGAAGCGGAAGACCUGGCCUCCCAAAUGCUGAAAGGCUUUCCCAGAGACCGCGUGUCCGCCCAGGAAGCGCUGGUUCACGAUUAUUUCAGUGUGCUGCCAGCUCAGCUGCACCAGCUUCCUGACGAGGAGUCUUUGUUUACAGUUUCAGGGGUGAGGCUAAAGCCAGAAAUGUGUGACCUUUUGGCUUCCUACCGGAAAGGUCAUCACCCGGCCGGGUUUAGCAAAUGCUGGUGAAAAGAAAGGGCGAGAUCACCAAGAUCUUCCAGGGAGUCCUCUCCAGAGGGAGAUCUGGAAACCACAAGGCCCUGAUAGGGAGGAGUCAACCACAAAUGUCACAGACUCAGCUGCUCUCAGGAGUCUCCUCCAUCAGCCCAGGCAGCCUAGCCUUCCAAGAUAAUCUUGAGGACCAAGGGCUGCUGUGGAAGAUUUUCUCCAAGGCUACCAUACCCUGAGGACUUCUGCGGGGCUCCUUUACUGCUGAUUCUGUUUUAAUUUGCUUCCGCUUACUAAGAAGCUUCAACUCUAACUCCACACUGGACCAAGGGUUUUAUACCAUCACCUGUGCAAUGAAAUAUUGUAAAUAUGAUGCCGAAGGCAACAGUACAUAAUACUUGAAGAAAAAAGCAAUGACAGGUUAUUGAAGUUGUCAUUUGCCUAGAAUGUAAGAGUGAUUGGCUCAAAAAUUAGACCUAGACUGAAAUCAUCUCGGAAGAGGACUUCUGAAUAAUUUCAGGCACUUCUUUAUUUGAUAGAGAGACCCCUGGGCCAGAAGGAGAACGGGACAGAUGGAAAACCAACAAGUGAAACUUUGCAGACAGAGCUGGUGCUUGCAGAGGCUGUCAAUCCUAUGUUCACUUACAGUUUCCUCCAACAAAAGGACUUCUGUGGCAAGGAGAGAAUUAGUCUAAAGUUUAGAAAAGUCUCUGGGGAAGGUGAUUUCUUGGAUAAAGUUGUCAACAAAAGGACUUGCUUAAGACUCUUUGUUAUGAUGUCCUAGGGGGCACUUCUUCCUUCACUAACUGGAUUAUCAAGACAUAUUACCUACCACCCCACCCCAGCCAGAUUUUAGGAGUUCGGAUUAAGCUGCUGUUAGGAUUAAAUUUCAAACUGUCUCCUUCUACUGAGUCUUAAUUGUCUGGGAUGUUAGCAAAGUGAUGAGGAAUCUCAGCUCUGAUUUGAUGGCAGAGAUACUGAAUAGAUAGAUAAGAGCAAAGAGCUCCAAAGUUGUAAUUUAAGUCCUGUUGCACCAUCAGACACACAUGCGUGUGUGCACACACAUAAGCCUCAAAUAAAAUGAGAGAUCUGUCUCAGCUAA